GUGAAUUCCCUCAGAGCAAGUUCUUAAGUGCCAAUGUACUUCUAACACGCCGCUGAUAGUGCGAACACAAAGCAAUAGAAACGGGAGGUCGUUUUCAGUUCCGCGUGAUUCUCCCUGCUCCCGUGCGGGGUGGACCCCAGCUUAGGGGAGCCCCGCCGGGGAGCAGGGCCGCGGGACGUCAGUCCCCCCGAAGGUCCGAGUGGUUUCCAGCAGCAGAGCUCACCACCAAAAGAGAAAAUCAAAAAACAGCAAGGAACCAAAAUGUUUGACUUAGUCUGCUGUGCCUCAGAGAGAGAGGUCUUUAAAUUCAUCAUCUCUGGGCUGGGCAGGAGUCCUCUGAGCACAGCAGAGCUGGCAGGCUAGAGAAGAUGGAAGGGUGGAGUGAUUCCAGGACGUGAUGUAUGUUCCAGAAAUGUGUGUUUAGUUGCUUUAACUUACACCGGAGACGGAUGGAAUUUCAGUUGGGGUAUUCAAAGAUUUGACAAUUCCUGGAUGAACACCUGAGACAGAAUAGUGCAAUCAUCUCUGAAGACCCCGACAUGGCUUUCUAGGAGGUGAAGUGCGGCACAGUGAUAAAAACUGAGCAACACUAUGGCUUCACCGAGGCGACUCUUUCCCAUAAAUGGUGCUGACCUGAUGGUACCCACCCCUUUGUCAAGCUGGCUGCCUGGGAGAGGGCAUUAGCCACUUUUAGCUCCACGGAUGAGAUCUUAUCUUCUGCUUGAGUGUGAAUUUACCUGGUUUGUUCCUGCAGCAUGCUAGGAGCUGUUAGCAGGUACUUUCUCAAACCACAAUCAUUGAAGACAUACCCACUGAACUAAAUCUACAAGCCAUAAAAGAAAAAUCAGUCAUUAUUCUGGCUGAUGAGAUGAGAUAAAUACAGGUGAAACAGUGAAUAACACAUCAUCUUUUAAAUUACUAUUAUAAGAUGGCAAAAUAAAAGCCAAGUUGUAUUUUAUAGAUAAUAAAUAAGGGGGACAUAUCUGAGUUGAUUCUAAGAUUAGAAUCUGGUAAUGUGUUAAUUGAACACUUGGCAAUUGCUUUCUUGGUUUUCCCAUUCAGGCUACUUAGCUUAUGGAGGAAAUGAAGACAGAAAAUUAUCAGUGGCUUCAUUUUAUGCUGAUACUUUGGAAUAGAAAAUCUGGGCUGAGUGGCAUAAUAAAAAUUGUGGAUGGACAAUUUUUAGACCAGUUAGGAUGGUUGCAUUAGAGAAUCCAAGAAAAUGUCUGUCAUUAUCUUUACAACAUACAAGUGAUCUUAGUUUGGGUUAUAUGCUUAGUCGCACAAAAGCUGCCUACAGGGAGUUCAUGGACAGGGUUAAAGAGAAGCAAGGGUGUUUUUAGGAAACCAAGUCACAUUUGGAGAGGAGAAGUGACAAGGCGGGGUCCUGAGGUUUACUGGUUAUAAUCCCAAAUUUGGAAUGAAAAAGUUGCUCUUUUGUCCUGUGUUCAAGUUGGAGGUUUGCCCUCCAAGAGACAGUUAACUGCUGACUUUACUUGAAUGUACUUGGACGGAGAAGAACUCAAACCAGCCAUGAACAAGAAAAGAAGGCCAGGUUUUCUGGAAGUGUCGCCAAAACCCAACAAUUUCUCAGAAUUUUCCGAGGUGCCAGAGGAGUGUUUGCAUUCCAAUAGAAAAAGUUCUGAAAGCUUUGGAAACGAUUCCCAGUUUUACUUUUUCAUUAAAAGCAAAAAACCAUUGCUGUGAAUAAAGGACAGAAAGAAGCACUUGCUAGGGCUUUGUUAGAAGUUAAAAAGGACUUCUGGGAAAUUUCAAUUGUUCAGUCCUUUGCCACAAAGCCAAGACAAAGGGGUUCAAGAUAUAAUGGCAGAUAGAAAAUAAAAGUACUGUUAACUUUCAUACAAAAGUACGCAGUGUCUGGAGCCAUUUUCCACUAGCUUUCUUCUGAAAGAAGACAGAACUUUCUAGGUUUAGAAAGAUAUAAUAGCAAUGACUUUAUAAUAACCUAAUGAUACCCCUCAUAAGCACAUACUCAUUACAAGUAUUUAAUCUUUUCACACACUGUAAGUAGGUUAGGUGGUUAGGUGGCUUGGAGAUUAUAAUAUUUCUGAAAGACACUCUUCCAGAAAAAGAAUAAUCCUAUUUCCAGUUGUGACUUGGAAGGAUUUUAAGUAGGCUUAUGGUAACAGUCAAAAGUAGAAAAAAUACUCAGUAUGGCAAAUAAAAUUAUUUUAGGUCUAAUUCUAACAGAGCAAGCUCAAAGUUGACGCUGUCCAAAAGAAAUAUGCUGUGAACCAUAAGCCAAAUCUAUAAGUAGAACUUUCUAGCAAUGACAUUAAAAAAAGUAAAAACAAACAUUAUACUAGUUAUAAUACUGUAUUUCAUUUAAGCCAAUAUUAUCGCUUCAAUAGGAAAUCAGUAUAAAAGAUUAGUAAUACAACACUUCACAAUUUUUUCUUACUAAGUGUUUGAAUUUGUAAGUAUUAUGUAGUUACCAUCUCCAUUGGAUGUUGUUUUCAUUGGAGAUACUUGAUUGAUGUUCAGAUGUCAUGAAACAGUUGUAAGAGUAGAUUUAUAAACAUCCUUAAAAAUUUCUAAUAACUGAAUUCAGUAACAAUUUUUAAUUUUAAACUAAUUAAAAUAAAAUAGAAAAUUCAAUUUCUCAGUUCUCAACAACCAACAUGUGGCUGAUUGGCCUCUGUGUUAAACAGCACAGCUCUGAGAAGCUGCGAAAUAUUUUUUUUUAAUGCUGUAAUUUUAUUGUUUCAAAUAUUAGCUUAUCAAGCGAGCUUUUGAAAGUGCUGAUGGAACCCUUCUUAUGUAGAGAUAUUUUGGGGCUAAUACACAUGGGGUAUGAGCUUUGACAUGUCCUUUGCUAUAGGAAUCUGUUUCUACACUUAAGUAUGCAUGUCUUGCCAGAAUUUUUCAAAACCCUGAGCAACCUUGGUCCGUGGAGCACAGGAAAUCACUUGGUGGUGGAGCUCAGGGGCUGGAGAGGAAGAUGAGGGGGUAAAGCAGGGGCAGAAGAAGGGGCAUUUUUCCUCCAGGCUCAGAAAUGUGAACAUUUUUUCAGAUUCUAUGACAUUACCACAUAUUUUCUGAUUAUUGAAAUAAUGAUAAAUUAUUAUAAAAAAUGAACAACAUUCAGAUUAGCCUGAAAAGGUAAUAGAAACCAUCCAAAAUUCCACCACCAAGAGAUAAAGCAAAAAACCCAAUUACAUUAAAACUUGACUUUUGAUUUCACAUCUUUUUAAUAUUCUGUGUGGUUAACUGGGAAGUACAAACAAAGAGCUUCUGACUCAUAUUAACACAUGGCAGUGGUUUUGAGGAAAAUCAUUUAUGCAAGUCUCUGACUUGAGUUGAAUUAGUACUUUUUUUCAUGAAACACUAUUUUUACUUGAAAGAACAACUAACUGGUAAACUUUGAUAGAUAAACUACGAUUAGUCAGGCCCACAUUUUUGUUGGACGUCUUUUCAAAAGUGAAUGAAGUGAGCCGUCAUUUCGAGGAAAACAACAGAAAGUACUUGUCGCAGUAACAUUUGAGCUUUCAACCAAAAAGUAUAAGUUUGGGAAACUGUAUUUACUACUGUGAACUUGACAGCUUACUGAUAUUUGAAGAUUUUUCUGAUGAGAAUUGUGAUGAUGGUAACAGAUAGGAUUUUUGACACUGUGUAAUAAAAUAUGUCAGCAUUUGGAAAAUCUGUAUAACUCAGUGAAUUAAUAUUCUCCAAAUAUCAAUGCAUAAUUUUUGAAAUCAUGCAUGGGUUAAAGAUCCACUCAGAGUUCAAGGUGAAUGAAUGAAUCUAAUGGAACACAGUAAGAAUGUUUAUUUAUAUGGUUUCGGAUUCCAUAUUGUAUUAAUAUUUAAGAAGCUAUUCAUUGUUGAGUUUUUGCAUGGUAUUAAAGAAUAUCCACAAUUAUGUGAAAAGGCUAUUACAAUACCUGAGCUCUCUCCAGCUCUACUGUGAUUUCUGGCUGUUGAUAUCUGUUCUGGCAUCUUCUGAGAUGGUUGUUAGCAUGUCAUAGUGUCUGGUUACUGGUGCACAGGCUGGGUCUUCCUCACUCUCGUGGAGGCCUGCUGCCUGCUCACUGCCUUUCCGUGCUGCUCUGGGGGACAGGGGGCAGCAGGCACUGUGCAGUGGCUUUUGUGCUUUUCCCUGGAGAAUGGGGAGCUGUCUUAGUUUCUCUUCCUGAGAUGUGCCUGUCUACCUAUCAUUUUGGUUCUUUGUUAACUCCAGAAAGUACUUGCUACUUGUUUUAGAAUAUAUAUCGAUAAAAGGAAGCAUUGUUUUGAUCAACACUAAUCGCCAACAUAUUUAUAGAGCUCGUGUGAGAUUAAGUCCUUUGGACUGCUCUUUGGUAAAAGACAUCCUCUGUGAUUACAGAAUAUCAGAAAGGAAUGUUAUCUUUUAAUCACAUCUUUAAUUUCUUUACAAUAAAGAAAACC